AUGGGAUGAACAGAACAAUUUCCAAUUUGACCCGUAUUUGGUCACGCAAGGUUAGCUUUUCUAUAGCUUUUAUUGAUGAAUUUGAAAAUACAUACAAUGCCUUCUGAAUCUGAGCAAUAUCCCCACAAUUUUUUUCUGUAUCACAAAGAGACCACCAUGAUGAGUAUGUGUUCCAAUGAGCAAGUGGUGCUAGCGUAACUCAUGAAUAAGGGAACACUAUAUCAAGGCUGUGAAGAAGGCUACCAUCGAGACAAAGAGCGAUCACCCCAAGGGUUAAUGCGUGGCGUAGAAGGUUAUCAAAAGAACUAUGUCAUUUUUUAAAAUUAAUUUCCUAGACAAGUACACUCGCACAUGCAUCUUUGCGACAAAAUAAAAACUGCACUACUCUCUCUCUCUCUCAUCUAAUGUUAUCAGAAGUACUAAUUGUGGAUUUCAUCGCUAUUUUCUCCAAAAACUCUGUUUAGUAUCCCUUCCAAUGUAAGUUUAUUACUAUGUGAUUAGAGAAAUUAAGAGGUAUAUGCGCAUACUAUAAGAUCAUGAUCAGUGGUGUACAGAAAUCCUAUGAAGUGAAAUACACAACGUAUUUUAUAUAUACUAUCUGUCGUUAAAUUCCAAUGUAUGUAUAUUGAGAUAUUUGUUGGAAGUGUCAUUAAUGCAAACCAUUGUGCUGUAAUACUUCACGCAGGAUAUCUAAAGGGAACUCUUUUAAAUUAUGGUCUUAUUCUACAACUAUGAUUAAGGGAGUAUGCACGGGUUGAUGAAAAUGUCGCACAAUUAAUUCUAUGUUGUAUCACCCAAUGGACAGCAGCUUCCUUGACUUUAUUUUGUUCUCAUCUAGUGGCAUGGUAUUCUGCCAUGUUCCCUUGUCUUUAUGUACAGUUUCGAUGUCCAGUGAAAAGACCAAAUCAUUUACUUAGUCGCUCUUGGCCUGUUCUGCUAUCAUGGUUUUACUGAUGUUCACAUUCCAAAUUAACAAUUAGUUGCUAGUGGGUGUUGUCCUUGCUGAAAUGCUCACUUUAUGGAUUCCAAAGCUUCUUUUUUUACAUCUGAGCGUUGGAGUGCUUCCAAUUAAAGGACUUGUAUUAUUAUGCAUGGCUAAUUAAUACACUUCUAUAACUAUGGAAUUUUGAUAUUUGUUGUACUAAAACUCCACUAUGACAACCGGUGCACAACAACAACUUUGUAAUCCAUGUGAGCUUCUAGGUUCUGGCUUUGUAGUGUGCAUCAUAUCUAGCUAAAAAAUGUAAUGAUGUGAAACUAUGUUAGAUCUUGCUGGUGUGCUGCUUGUCAACCUUGCUAUGUUGUUGUCUGCUGAAUUCUGGGUGUACAUCGACGCAAAUGAACAUGGAAACAACUUCAGAACUAUUCUUCACAUUUUUUGACUAAAAAUUCGAACCACUGAACAUGAUCACUUCCAUAUCUCUGAAAUGAGAAUUUACUCAAGUUUCUAUUCUGCUAGCGAUAGUUUUGUUGUCAUGUUCAUAUAAGAAAAUGCCAAAUACAAAUGGCCUUCAUUAGCAUUACUAUAUUAGCAACACAAUAUGUAGUAGCAAACCCCAACAUAAAUGAUAUCUUUAGUUCCUAUGACAGAUAUAGAUGGAUUAUUAGUUCAUAAAGCAAGCGAUACAGCAAAAAAACUAAGUGUUAUGUAUUUGUGAAUCAGAAAAAGGAAUGGCAUGUAGGUAGUUAUCCCCCAUGGGCACAUAGACCAGGAUACAUUGUAUCUCAGGAUAUAGGAAACACAAAAGAGGUGUGCUAAAGAUGUUCAAGCUGGAGAAUGUUCUCCAAUGGGAUGAAGAACGAAGGCUUUGAUGUCAAGUGCGAGAAUGAUGAAAUGAUCUUGCUGGAAAGCUGUGAGGAUGGGUAGUAGUUGCCCACUACAAGGAGCCAAGGCAGAUGAUGUUUUGCAGAAAACAAAGUGAUGAACUUUUGCUCUCAGACAAUGAACUAUCAAGUUUCCUCUAUUUAAUUAGUUACAUUAGUUUAUUUAUAGGAAACUUGGCUGCUCAUUGGUUCAUAACAAAUGAACUAUUUAUAUGUGAAAAUUAAUGAAUGUGUAUGACUAUUGUUUGGUUC